UAUGUAGGCAGCAAGUGUUGUUCGGAGUUACUGGGCGUAAAGAGUAUGUAGGCGGUUGGGUAAGUUUGGUGUGAAAUCUUUUGGCUUAACUGGGAGGGUGUGUUAAAGACUGCCUGGCUCGAGUGUGGGAGAGGAAAGUGGAAUUCCUGGUGUAGCGGUGAAAUGCGUAGAUAUCAGGAGGAACAUUUGUGGUGUAGACGGCUUUCUGGACCAUAACUGAUGCUGAGAUACGAAAGUGUGGGUAGCAAACAGG
rnacentral:rRNA from 1 species